AUUCUCUUCACUUCAGUAGAACAUUUACUAAAAUCAGAAUGAUACACAUUAGAUUAACAUGGCCCCUGUUCAAGAAUGGCAAACAGAUUCCUGCUGUAUUCCAUAUUUUA